AGAAAAUCAUCUUACUGUUCACUGGUAGAAGUGGAAUUUGCAAAACAUAUUCCUGCUCAGCAACCAACUGUACAACCACGCUGCUCUGGAGUCUCCAUUCCUUUGUAUCUAGUAUUUUGCUUGCAUGUAUGUCUGUGCACAACAUGGAUGUAGUGCCUGCAGAGACCAGAAGAGUGAAUCAGAUCUGGAGUUAUCAACAGUUGUUCCCUGCCAUGUGUGUAAGACCCCCGGCAUCUCAAGCCUCCAGGAUCUCAGCCCAGGACCUCAGUCACCCCAAUCACCAGCAUCCUGCUUAAUUGCACCUUGCCUGAAGCAUACAACCAUUGUCCUGUCCUGUGUAACCACAGAAGUUUUGUAAUCUUGGGGCUUCCAGCCUUACAGUCCCUCCCUUAUAAAAACACCCCUCAGUUGAAAGUGGGUACUACAUUUGUUCCCGAACGAAUGGGAUCCUUGCUGCAGCUCGUAUCCUCCAGUCAAUAAAGAAACCUUUGUCCUUGCA